rnacentral:lncRNA from 1 species
AUGCAAGCAAGCACCCUAUUGGAAGGUACUCUUAAUGAAAUGAACACCGGCUGGAUGGUUCUCUUUUUGGAUGUGGGCUCAGACAUUAGGAGCAGGCAGUAUCUUUUCUUUUUCUUUUUCUUUCUUUCUUUUUUUUUUUUUGACAGGAUGGGCUGGGGUUGGGGGAGGAGGAAGCAAGAAUCAAGCAGAGAAGGCGAGCUCCUUUCUGUUCAUCUAACUCAAACUCUUUCCAAGUGUGAACCCAGUGGAGACGUUUUCAAACUGUAGCCAUGAAGCAGGUUGCAUGAGGCAGUUCCAUCUCCUGGCAACUGUCUCCAUAGACACAGCCUGGUUUCGGUCCGCAUCCCUUACCUAGGUAAGUACAACCCUUUCCUAACUGCUUUCCCCGUUUCAUUUUGGUCAUACACUAC